GACGAACGCUGGCGGCGUGCCUAAUACAUGCAAGUAGAACGCUGAAGCUUGGUGCUUGCACCGAGCGGAUGAGUUGCGAACGGGUGAGUAACGCGUAGGUAACCUGCCUGGUAGCGGGGGAUAACUAUUGGAAACGAUAGCUAAUACCGCAUAAAAUGGAUUAUCGCAUGAUAAUUCAUUGAAAGGUGCAAAUGCAUCACUACCAGAUGGACCUGCGUUGUAUUAGCUAGUUGGUGGGGUAACGGCUCACCAAGGCGACGAUACAUAGCCGACCUGAGAGGGUGAUCGGCCACACUGGGACUGAGACACGGCCCAGACUCCUACGGGAGGCAGCAGUAGGGAAUCUUCGGCAAUGGACGGAAGUCUGACCGAGCAACGCCGCGUGAGUGAAGAAGGUUUUCGGAUCGUAAAGCUCUGUUGUAAGAGAAGAACGAGUGUGAGAGUGGA
rnacentral:rRNA from 1 species